CCUACGGGAGGCAGCAGUGGGGAAUAUUGCACAAUGGGGGAAACCCUGAUGCAGCGACGCCGCGUGAGUGAAGAAGUAAUUCGUUACGUAAAGCUCUAUCAGCAGGGAAGAAAAUGACGGUACCUGAGUAAGAAGCAUCGGCUAACUCCGUGCCAGCAGCCGCGGUAAUACGGAGGAUGCGAGCGUUAUCCGGAUUUAUUGGGUUAAAAGGGUGCGUAGGCGGAAUGCCAAGUCAGCGGGAAAAUCCCGGGUCUCAACCUCGCUACGCCGUUGAAACUGGCGUUCUUGAGUGGGCGAGAAGUAUGCGGAAUGCGUGGUGUAGCGGUGAAAUGCAUAGAUAUCACGCAGAACUCCGAUUGCGAAGGCAGCAUACCGGCGCCCAACUGACGCUGAAGCACGAAAGCGUGGGUAUCGAACAGGAUUAGAUACCCUAGUAGUC
rnacentral:rRNA from 1 species